GAGCGUUCUGUAAGCCUGCGAAGGUGUGCUGUGAGGCAUGCUGGAGGUAUCAGAAGUGCGAAUGCUGACAUGAGUAGCGUUAAAGGGGGUGAAAAGCCCCCUCGCCGUAAGCGCAAGGUUUCCUACGCAACGUUCAUCGGCGUAGGGUGAGUCGGCCCCUAAGGCGAGGCAGAGAUGCGUAGCUGAUGGGAAACUGGUUAAUAUUCCAGUACCGUCGUAUAGUGCGAUGGGGGGACGGAUCGCGGAAGGUCAUCAGGGUGUUGGAAGUCCCUGUUUCUGCAUCGAAGAAGGCGCUUAGGCAAAUCCGGGCGCGUAAUUCAAGGGUGUGGACCGAGUGAAGCUUGCUUCACGAAGUGAUUGGAAGUGGUUCCAAGAAAAGCCUCUAAGCUUCAGCUAUACGAGACCGUACCGCAAACCGACACAGGUGGACGGGAUGAAUAUUCCAAGGCGCUUGAGAGAACUCGGGAUAAGGAACUCGGCAAAUUGAUACCGUAACUUCGGGAGAAGGUAUGCCCUUGUAGCGUGAUGCACCUGCGUGCAAAGCGUGAAGGGGCCUCAGAGAAUCGGUGGCUGCGACUGUUUAUUAAAAACACAGCACUCUGCAAACACGAAAGUGGACGUAUAGGGUGUGACGCCUGCCCGGUGCCGGAAGGUUAAGUGAUGGGGUGCAAGCUCUUGAUCGAAGCCCCGGUAAACGGCGGCCGUAACAAUAACGGUCCUAAGGUAGCGAAAUUCCUUGUCGGGUAAGUUCCGACCUGCACGAAUGGCGUAACGAUGGCCACACUGUCUCAUCCCGAGACUCAGCGAAGUUGAAGUGGUUGUGAUGAUGCAAUCUACCCGCGGCUAGACGGAUAACAGGCUGAUACCGCCCAAGAGUUCAUAUCGACGGCGGUGUUUGGCACCUCGAUGUCGGCUCAUCACAUCCUGGGGCUGUAGCCGGUCCCAAGGGUAUGGCUGUUCGCCAUUUAAAGUGGUACGUGAGCUGGGUUUAAAACGUCGUGAGACAGUUUGGUCCCUAUCUGCCGUGGGCGUUGGAUACUUGACGGAGCCUGCUCCUAGUACGAGAGGACCGGAGUGGACGUACCUCUGGUGUACCGGUUGUCAUGCCAAUGGCAUUGCCGGGUAGCUAAGUACGGAAGAGAUAACCGCUGAAAGCAUCUAAGCGGGAAACUCGUCUGAAGAUAAGGUAUCCCGGGGGCUUGACCCCCUGAAGGUCGUUCGAGACCAGGACGUUGAUAGGCUGAUACUAGGUGUGGUCCGGCGUC
rnacentral:rRNA from 1 species